rnacentral:lncRNA from 10 species
UUAACAACCUCUGGAGAGUUUUGAGCACAUUGGGCCAUACAGAGCCGCUACAUAUCCCUGCUUGCAAUUUUCCACUCCUGUUCUUUGAUCUGUAUCAGUUUACACUGCUUUGACAUCAUUUUGGCCUUUUGCGCAGCAUCUUUACUCCAGUUUUUUUCCUCACAGCAACUCCAAAAUGGAAGUACUAUUGUUAUCUCCGUUUACAAAUUAGGAAACUGAGGCACAGAUAUGCUCUUGGGUACUUGUCAGCAGCAGUUGUUCUACAAGUAAGGUGAAAAGUAGAACCUCUUUAUCACUAGGUAUUGGAUAAAUAAUUUCCCUAAGAUUGUUUCAUCCUCUCAUUCUCUACAUCGAUUUAAAGGACUGCCACUAUAUUCACAUGCAAAACAUUGCCAAAAAAAAGUGUGAACAUUGUUUUUUCAAUAGGCUUUUAUGUAAGUUAUUUAGCUACACAUUAGAAUAAUUUUAGAAUGACAACCUAACUUAGAAUUUCAGUAUUUUCUCUUUUAGUGGAAGAAGUCUUAAUUAUGAUAUGUGUGUGCUGCCAUCUGAUGAUAACUUUCUAGGACAUUUCAUGUUAAUGAAUUAACUAAACUACAGGAUGAAUGAAAUAAUUCAUUAGCCUGACACUGUGUAAAGACAUGCUUGUCAGGUUUUAAUUUCUUCAUGCAAGAAAAGACACAUUUGUUACAGCCUAUGUCUAAGGAACAGAGAUACAACACCAUAUUCACUUCUCCCAGGGUAGGGAAUAUUGUCGCACUUGUUAAUAAAGAUAACUUUCCUAUUACGACCAGGUUACCAUAUACUUAGAACAGGAACUUACCUAGUUAAAUCCCAACUGACUGCUUGUUAUGGAUGCAGUGCAUCAUCAUUCUGAAGGGCAUAUUCGCCCAGCAGCUGGGAGUCCUGCCCAGAAGCAGCUCUACAGUCUGCCCUUUCUGAAAGUUGCCAUAAUCCCUUUGCUGGGCAAGCCCACUUGGAGAGUUGGUAGACGUACAUUUCAGGCUUAUAAUACUUUCUAAUGUCUCCUUUGUACUCAUCUUAACUCCCCAGGAAUAAGGUUUCUAAAACCUUAUUUUUAAAUAAAAAAAAUGAGAAAACUUAUUUUUAAAUGAGCUCAUGUAAGGCUACAUUUUUUAUUGAUUCUUCAAUCUUGUUAGUACUAACUAGGCACACUUACUUGCUCAUCUGGCAGCCAAGGAGUUUGGACCCCAUUUGUCCUAAGGAAGAAAAGUGGUUAAGAGCAGAAUACCUGUAGCUGGCCCACUUCCAUUGGAAUAUGGGCUCCAAUGCUUAUAACUGGAUAAGGUGCUUAAUUUUUCUGAAUGUUAGUGUCAUUAUCUGUAAAAUGGAGAUGGUAGUAUUAUCUACCUUACAGGAUUAUUGGAAGAAUUAAAUGAGUCAUUGUAAGAAGGUACUAGAAAAUUGCCUGUCAAUAAUAAGCACCAUAUGCGUGUUAGUUAAAACCCUUCCAACAGGGGAGUGCUUAUGAUAGCUAUUGAUUUGUAUUGUUUUGUUCAAAUGACAUUUUGAAUUCUAAGAUGACCAAGAUUAAAAUUUUGAAAUUCUUUUUUAUUCUUUUGUUUCCUUCUUUAUGUGAUUUGUGUGAAGAAGUUGUUCAUUAGAAUCACCCUCCAGGGCCUGCACUAUUUCUAACUCUUGUUCUUUAGGCCAGUCCAGGGUUCAAGAAGCAGGCUGAAGGUGCUCAUAAACCUGAGUGAUACUGCUGGCCAAUGAAUGUGAGGCUAAUUACCUCAUGCGCCUGAUACUUUCCUAAAUUGGUCUUGUGGAAGAACAUAGGUUUAGAGUGGAAAGACAUUUUCUCUAAGCUCUUAUGAAAUGCAAUGAAACUAGAGAGUAAAUUUACCUACAUUUGUUUAUCUGACAACAUCAACAGGCUAAAUAUCUGGAUAUCUUAAAUCUCAGAUGAGCGUCUUAGCCUCUGGAUUACUGCUCAAUGAGGAAAGCUAUGAAAUGCAUGGAUAACUUGCUAAUCAGUAUUUGCCAUAUGUGCUAGCAGCAUCAGCAUCAGUUGGGAGAUUAUGGUGGCCUCCAUGUCAGACCUCCUAAAUCGGAAUAUCAGAGAAGGUGGCCCAGGUUACCAUGCUUCAUCUGCCAAUGCAUUGAAAACUUGGAAUGUAAAUUAAUUCAACCAUUGUGGAAGAUGGUGUAGUGAUUCCUCAAAGACCUAGAAGCAGAAAUAUCAUUUGAUCCAGAAAUCCCAUUACUGUGUAUACACCCAAAGGAAUAUAAACCAUUCUAUUACAAAGAUACAUGCGUGCGUAUGUUCAUUGCAGCAUUAUUCACAAUAGUAAAGACAUAGAGUCAACCCAAAUGCCCAUCAAAGACAAACAAUAUGUGGUACAUAUACACCAUGGAAUACCAUGCACCCAUAAAAAGGAACAAGAUCACAUUUUUUGUAGGGACAUGGAUGGAGCUGGAAGGCAUUGUCCUCAGCAAAAUAACAUAGGAACAGAAAACCAAACACCCCAUGUCCUCACUUAUAAGUGGGAGGUAAACAAUGAGAACACAUGGACACAGGGAGAGGAACAACACACAUUGGGGCCUGUUGGAGGGUGGGGUGGGGGAGAGAGAGCAUUAGGAAAAGUAGCUAACUCAUGCUGGGCUCAAUGCGUAGGUGAUGGGUUGAUAGGUGCAGCAAACCACCAUGGCACAUGGUUACCUAUGUAACAAGCCUGCACAUCCUGCACAUGUACCCCAGAACUUAAAAUAAAAAUAAAAAUUUAAAAAAACUC